AUGUGUGGGACGCUCGGGGCCGAACCCCUGGGACGGAUCCCUUUCUUCUUAAGGGCUGGCCUACUUGGUACGGCCCACGGAGCUGGAGUGGCAGCCUCCAUCCACGCUGAUGGGAGGGGCUGCGGUCUAGGUGCUGGGUCUUGCUACUCAGUGUUCCCACGUGGGAAGGUGGGAAGGGGGAGUAGCACCUGUUCACCUCGACAGCCGCGGGUGGUCCCGACUCCCGGGAACGGCGAGCAGGGCCAGGCGGACAGUGAGGGGCCAGAGAGCCCAGGGAAAUGCAGACCUCAGUCACAGAGUGGCAGGGGCGGCGCUGGGGCGCAGCGGGGGAAGCCACUGCCUGUGACGCUGGCAUCCCAGACGGCUGUCCCAGCUGCUCCACCGCCAACCCAGCUCCCUGCUGAUGACCUGGGAAAUGCAGCAGAAGACGGUCUGAGUCUGGACGCUGACCACCCACACGGGAGAAUGGAAGGAAGCUCCAGGCUCCUGGCUUCAGCCUGGUGCAGUCCCAGCCAUCACAACCAUUUGGGGAGUGAACCAGAGCAUGGAAGAUCCCUCUCCCUCUCUCUCUCUCUCUCUCUCUCUCUCUCUCUCUCUGUAACGCUGACUUUCAAUGUAAAUAAACAAACACCGCAUGGCAGCGGCUGGUGCACACAGACAUCCAGGAACGGGACCGAAGAAGGGGGAAAUAGCGCUGUUAGGAUGCACAGUGAUGGCGCGCAGCAGGCGUUAGUCACUCUGAAUCCUCAUCAGGUGCUGCGCAAGUUCACCUCCUGCCGGUGGAACCUGUCUCGCGCACACUGCUGGGAAUUCCAGCUACUUCCCCAGCAUCCCCUGCAGCUGGGCCAUACACACGCCAGAUCCUGCCUCUCUCUGACUCAGAAGCUGGGACCCCAGAGAACCAAGACAGCACAGGCUGCAUUUGAGUGCUGGGCGGAGGCUCAGCUCUCGGGACCCAGCAUCAGUGCCAUGGGCUGUGGUGGAGCCAGCACCUCCUUCCCGGGUGUCAGUGGGUCUCCCUGUGGACUCGCUGGGUGUCAGUGGGGUCUCCGUGUGUGUGGACUCCCUGGGUGUCAGUGGGGUCUCCCUGUGGACUCGCUGGGUGUCAGUGGGGUCUCCGUGUGUGUGUACUCCCUGGGUGUCAGUGGGUCUCCCUGUGGACUCCCUGGGUGUCAGUGGGGUCUCCCUGUGUACUCCCUGGGUGUCAGUGGGGUCUCUGUGUGUGUGGACUCCCUGGGUGUCAGUGGGGUCUCCGUGUGUGUGGACUCCCUGGGUGUCAGUGGGGUUUCCCGUGUGUGUGGACUCCCUGGGUGUCAGGGGGUCUCCCUGUGGACUCCCUGGGUGUCAGUGGGGUCUCCCUGUGUGUGUGGACUCGCUGGGUGUCAGUGGGGUCUCCCUGUGGACUCCCUGGGUGUCAGUGGGGUCUCCCUGUGGACUCCCUGGGUGUCAGUGGGGUCUGUGUGUGUGUGGACUCCCUGGUGUCAGUGGGGUCUCCGUGUGUGUGGACUCCCUGGGUGUCAGUGGGGUCUCCCUGUGGACUCGCUGGGUGUCAGUGGGUCUCCCUGUGGACUCCCUGGGUGUCAGUGGAGUCUCCAUGUGUGUGUACUCCCUGGGUGUCAGGGGGUCUCCGUGUGUGUGGACUCCCUGGGUGUCAGGAGGUCUCCGUGUGGACUCCCUGGGAAGACCACCACACCUGGGUGA
ensembl:lncRNA